rnacentral:rRNA from 1 species
AAGUCGUAACAAGGUUUCCGUAGGUGAACCUGCGGAAGGAUCAUUACCGAAUUGUCAACACGAGUUGUUGCUGGUCCUCAAAUGGGGGCAUGUGCACACUCUGUUUGCACAUCCACUCACACCUGUGCACCCUCCAUAGUUCUGCAGCCUGGGGGCUCUGUCCCCCCUGCUGUGGCUCUAUGUAUUUACACACACACACUGUGAUAAAGUCUUAUGGAAUGUAUGCCGCGUUUAACGCAAUACAAUACAACUUUCAGCAACGGAUCUCUUGGCUCUCGCAUCGAUGAAGAACGCAGCGAAAUGCGAUAAGUAAUGUGAAUUGCAGAAUUCAGUGAAUCAUCGAAUCUUUGAACGCACCUUGCGCCCUUUGGCUAUUCCGAAGGGCAUGCCUGUUUGAGUAUCAUGAACACCUCAACUCUCAUGGCUUGCCAUGACGAGCUUAGACUUUGGGGGUCUUGCCGGCCUGCGGUCGGCUCCUCUCAAAUGAAUCAGCUUACCAGUGUUUGGUGGCAUCACAGGUGUGAUAACUAUCUACGCUUGUGGUUUUCCACCAGGUAACCUUCAGUGAUGGAGGUUUGCUGGGGCUCAUAAAUGUCUCUCCUCAGUGAGGACAGCUCUUUNGAACAUUNGAUCUCAAAUCAGGUAGGACUACCCGCUGAACUUAAGCAUAUCAUAAGCGGAGGAAAAGAAACUAACAAGGAUUCCCCUAGUAACUGCGAGUGAAGCGGGAAGAGCUCAAAUUUAAAAUCUGGCGUGCCUCUGGUCGUCCGAGUUGUAGUCUGGAGAAGCGUUUUCCGUGUUGGACCGUGUAUAAGUCUCUUGGAACAGGGCGUCAUAGAGGGUGAGAAUCCCGUCUUUGACACGGACUACCAAUGCUUUGUGAUGCGCUCUCAAAGAGUCGAGUUGUUUGGGAAUGCAGCUCAAAAUGGGUGGUAAAUUCCAUCUAAAGCUAAAUAUAGGCGAGAGACCGAUAGCGAACAAGUACCGUGAGGGAAAGAUGAAAAGCACUUUGGAAAGAGAGUUAAACAGUACGUGAAAUUGCUGAAAGGGAAACGCUUGAAGUCAGUCACGUCUGCCAGGACUCAGCCUCGCUUCUGCUUGGUGCACUUUCUGGUUUGAUGGGCCAACAUCAAUUUUGACCGUCGGAGAAAGGCUUUGGGAAUGUGGCACCUUUGGGUGUGUUAUAGCCCUUUGUCGUAUACGACGGUUGGGAUUGAGGACUGCAGCACGCCUUUAUGGCCGGGGUUCGCCCACGUACGUGCUUAGGAUGUUGGCAUAAUGGCUUUAAGCGACCCGUCUUGAAACACGGACC